GUCCCUGUAGCGCAAUGGAUAGCGCGUUGGACUUCUAAUCCAUAGAUCGUAGAUUCGAAUACUACCUGGGAUG